GGUUAAGCGACUAAGCGUACACGGUGGAUGCCCUGGCAGUCAGAGGCGAUGAAGGACGUGCUAAUCUGCGAAAAGCGUCGGUAAGGUGAUAUGAACCGUUAUAACCGGCGAUGUCCGAAUGGGGAAACCCAGUGCAAUUCGUUGCACUAUCGUUAACUGAAUACAUAGGUUAACGAGGCGAACCGGGGGAACUGAAACAUCUAAGUACCCCGAGGAAAAGAAAUCAACCGAGAUUCCCCCAGUAGCGGCGAGCGAACGGGGAGCAGCCCAGAGUCUGAAUCAGCUUGUGUGUUAGUGGAACGGUCUGGAAAGUCCGACGGUACAGGGUGAUAGUCCCGUACACCAAAAUGCACAGGCUGUGAACUCGAAGAGUAGGGCGGGACACGUGGUAUCCUGUCUGAAUAUGGGGGGACCAUCCUCCAAGGCUAAAUACUCCUGACUGACCGAUAGUGAACCAGUACCGUGAGGGAAAGGCGAAAAGAACCCCGGCGAGGGGAGUGAAAAAGAACCUGAAACCGUGUACGUACAAGCAGUGGGAGCACCUUCGUGGUGUGACUGCGUACCUUUUGUAUAAUGGGUCAGCGACUUAUAUUCUGUAGCAAGGUUAACCGUAUAGGGGAGCCGCAGGGAAACCGAGUCUUAACUGGGCGUUAAGUUGCAGGGUAUAGACCCGAAACCCGGUGAUCUAGCCAUGGGCAGGUUGAAGGUUGGGUAACACUAACUGGAGGACCGAACCGACUAAUGUUGAAAAAUUAGCGGAUGACUUGUGGCUGGGGGUGAAAGGCCAAUCAAACCGGGAGAUAGCUGGUUCUCCCCGAAAGCUAUUUAGGUAGCGCCUCGUGAACUCAUCUUCGGGGGUAGAGCACUGUUUCGGCUAGGGGGUCAUCCCGACUUACCAACCCGAUGCAAACUACGAAUACCGAAGAAUGUUAUCACGGGAGACACACGGCGGGUGCUAACGUCCGUCGUGAAGAGGGAAACAACCCAGACCGCCAGCUAAGGUCCCAAAGUCAUGGUUAAGUGGGAAACGAUGUGGGAAGGCACAGACAGCCAGGAUGUUGGCUUAGAAGCAGCCAUCAUUUAAAGAAAGCGUAAUAGCUCACUGGUCGAGUCGGCCUGCGCGGAAGAUGUAACGGGGCUAAACCAUGCACCGAAGCUGCGGCAGCGACACUAUGUGUUGUUGGGUAGGGGAGCGUUCUGUAAGCCUGCGAAGGUGGCCUGUGAGGGUUGCUGGAGGUAUCAGAAGUGCGAAUGCUGACAUAAGUAACGAUAAAGCGGGUGAAAAGCCCGCUCGCCGGAAGACCAAGGGUUCCUGUCCAACGUUAAUCGGGGCAGGGUGAGUCGACCCCUAAGGCGAGGCCGAAAGGCGUAGUCGAUGGGAAACAGGUUAAUAUUCCUGUACUUGGUGUUACUGCGAAGGGGGGACGGAGAAGGCUAUGUUAGCCGGGCGACGGUUGUCCCGGUUUAAGCAUGUAGGCUGAUUAUCCAGGCAAAUCCGGAUAAUCAAGGCUGAGGUGUGAUGACGAGGCACUACGGUGCUGAAGUAACAAAUGCCCUGCUUCCAGGAAAAGCCUCUAAGCAUCAGGUAACAUCAAAUCGUACCCCAAACCGACACAGGUGGUCAGGUAGAGAAUACCAAGGCGCUUGAGAGAACUCGGGUGAAGGAACUAGGCAAAAUGGUGCCGUAACUUCGGGAGAAGGCACGCUGGUGUGUAGGUGAAGUCCCUGCGGAUGGAGCUGAGACCAGUCGAAGAUACCAGCUGGCUGCAACUGUUUAUUAAAAACACAGCACUGUGCAAACACGAAAGUGGACGUAUACGGUGUGACGCCUGCCCGGUGCCGGAAGGUUAAUUGAUGGGGUUAUCCGUAAGGAGAAGCUCUUGAUCGAAGCCCCGGUAAACGGCGGCCGUAACUAUAACGGUCCUAAGGUAGCGAAAUUCCUUGUCGGGUAAGUUCCGACCUGCACGAAUGGCGUAAUGAUGGCCAGGCUGUCUCCACCCGAGACUCAGUGAAAUUGAACUCGCUGUGAAGAUGCAGUGUACCCGCGGCAAGACGGAAAGACCCCGUGAACCUUUACUAUAGCUUGACACUGAACAUUGAGCCUUGAUGUGUAGGAUAGGUGGGAGGCUUUGAAGCGUGGACGCCAGUCUGCGUGGAGCCAACCUUGAAAUACCACCCUUUAAUGUUUGAUGUUCUAACGUUGGCCCCUUAUCGGGGUUGCGGACAGUGUCUGGUGGGUAGUUUGACUGGGGCGGUCUCCUCCCAAAGCGUAACGGAGGAGCACGAAGGUUAGCUAAUCCUGGUCGGACAUCAGGAGGUUAGUGCAAUGGCAUAAGCUAGCUUGACUGCGAGCGUGACGGCGCGAGCAGGUGCGAAAGCAGGUCAUAGUGAUCCGGUGGUUCUGAAUGGAAGGGCCAUCGCUCAACGGAUAAAAGGUACUCCGGGGAUAACAGGCUGAUACCGCCCAAGAGUUCAUAUCGACGGCGGUGUUUGGCACCUCGAUGUCGGCUCAUCACAUCCUGGGGCUGAAGUAGGUCCCAAGGGUAUGGCUGUUCGCCAUUUAAAGUGGUACGCGAGCUGGGUUUAGAACGUCGUGAGACAGUUCGGUCCCUAUCUGCCGUGGGCGCUGGAGAAUUGAGGGGGGCUGCUCCUAGUACGAGAGGACCGGAGUGGACGCAUCACUGGUGUUCGGGUUGUCAUGCCAAUGGCACUGCCCGGUAGCUAAAUGCGGAAGAGAUAAGUGCUGAAAGCAUCUAAGCACGAAACUUGCCCCGAGAUGAGUUCUCCCUGAGACUUUAAGUCUCCUGAAGGAACGUUGAAGACGACGACGUUGAUAGGCCGGGUGUGUAAGCGCAGCGAUGCGUUGAGCUAACCGGUACUAAUGAACCGUGAGGCUUAACCUU
rnacentral:rRNA from 1 species